rnacentral:rRNA from 1 species
UUGGCUUACCGUGGCAGUGACGGUUAACGGGGGAUUAGGGUUCGAUUCCGGAGAGGGAGCCUGAGAAACGGCUACCACAUCUAAGGAAGGCAGCAGGCGCGCAAAUUACCCAAUUCUAACAGCAUAAGAGAGGUAGUGACAAGAAAUAACAAUACAAGGUAAUUAAAUUGCUUUGUAAUUGGAAUGAUAGAAAUUUAAACACUUUUUAAAGUAUCAAUUGGAGGGCAAGUCUGGUGCCAGCAGCCGCGGUAAUUCCAGCUCCAAUAGCGUAUAUUAAAAUUGUUGCAGUUAAAAAGCUCGUAGUUGAAUUUCUGUUAAAAAUAACCGGUCUGCUUUUAUUAAAAGUGGUAUCUUGGUGUGUUUUUAGCAAUAAUGUCCUUUGAAAUGUUUUUUACUUUAUUGUAAUAAGUCAUUAUUUUGAGGAUUUUUACUUUGAGAAAAUUAGAGUGUUUCUAGCAGGCUUACGCUUUUGAAUACUGCAGCAUGGAAUAAUAAGAUAGGAUUUUAGUUCUACAUUAUUGGUUUUAAGAACUAAAUUAAUGAUUGAUAGGGAUAGUUGGGGGCAUUUGUAUUUAACUG